rnacentral:lncRNA from 1 species
AACACACUCAAUGCCCAAGACCUACAAAUAACCUGCACCGGAUCCACACCUUCUCACUUGGAACUCCUGCUCCACAGACUCGUGGCUGGUAUUUAUAGUCCCCUGAUGCUUUUCACAGUGAUGUCGCUCAUCCACAGGGCUCUGAGCUCUCACUGCCAAAUGAGAAGUCACUAGACAGGCCAACUGACUGGUCUGAGAACAACAGGGCGCAGAAUUACUGGGAGAACUACAAACCAAAGAAGAGCUGACUGCUCUAAAGCCGAGGCUCAGAAUGACAGCACCCAGAACUCUGUGUCAAAUUAUAAAAAUUAAACUGCAGUAUUGCAUUCCAGCCAUCUAUCUGGGAUGACAUAAAACAAAAACAAAGACAAACAAACAAAAAACCACCUCAAGAAGAAAUACAGACACAGACACCUCUAUGGGGUGGAGCCCAAGCAACAUGUCAACAUGGGCUUAACGUGUGCUAAGAUUUCACUCAAGUCAGUUUCUGAGACCACCAGCCUGGGGCAUCAAGAGUUGGGAUGCUUACCCUAUCUCAAAGAAGCAAACAAAUACUCAUUGCUCUUGGGUCCUGGGAUGGGGAAAGGACUAGGGAAGCUAGGAAGAGGGAGAGACCUAGAUUUUCAACAUCAUUAACGGUAGAAAAUUACAAUGGACUUAGAUUUCCCACACAAGGCAGAGCAACUGGAAGCCCUGUUUUUGAAAAUCUGAUACUUGAGUCCAGUUCCAAACAGUCAGUCUGGGGUAGGAACUGCUGUCCAGGUGACCUCAGUAAACAGACGGGAUCAUACACUGCUCUCAGUGACAUGAUAAAGAAGUCGG